AAGGAUUUAAGUUAGCUUAAACUUUCAACCUUCAAAGUUGACAACAGAUUUUUAUCUAAGCCUUA
rnacentral:tRNA from 1 species